rnacentral:rRNA from 1 species
UGCCAGCCGCCGCGGUAAUACUGAAGGUGCAAGCGUUAUUCGGAAUCACUGGGCUUAAAGAGUGCGUAGGCGGCUUGGCAAGUUGGGUGUGAAAUCCCUCGGCUCAACCGAGGAAUUGCGCUCAAAACUGCUAGGCUUGAGGGAGACAGAGGUGAGCGGAACUGAUGGUGGAGCGGUGAAAUGCGUUGAUAUCAUCAGGAACACCGGUGGCGAAAGCGGCUUACUGGGUCUCUUCUGACGCUGAGGCACGAAAGCUAGGGUAGCGAACGGGAUUAGAUA